rnacentral:lncRNA from 1 species
AUCAUUGGUGUUGCCACUCUGCGCCAACGUCCGUUCCCUUCCGUUACGGCAUCUCUAGUGCUGCUCAUCAGCACUGCCCCACCUUUCUUCGUCGUUGUAACUAUUUUCCUUCCUCUUUUGCUACAGUUUCCUCUUCUACUACAGCUUCCUCCUCUGUUGCAGUUUCCUCCUUUGCUGUAGUAGCAUCACUGCAACAUUACUGUAGAUUUCUUCUCUACCGUCGCAGCCGUCGUAAUCGCAACCACGACCAACGUCGUUGAGAAAAGCGAAGCUUCGCUCUUGCCUUCAGCAAGCGACCAACGUCGCUGAGAAAAGUGAAGCUUUACCCUUCGGCCAGCGACCAACGCCGUUGCAUUCCUAAGAGGCUCCGUAGUCAAUUCUCAUCUUCCUCACCGCGGUAGUCUUCGCUGAUCUAUCAACAUUCGGCAGACUUAAGGAGAAUGAAGGGAA